GAUGAACGCUGGCGGCGUGCCUAAUACAUGCAAGUCGAGCGAACAGACGAGGAGCUUGCUCCUCUGACGUUAGCGGUGGACGGGUGAGUAACACGUGGAUAACCUACCUAUAAGACUGGGAUAACUUCGGGAAACCGGAGCUAAUACCGGAUAAUAUAUUGAACCGCAUGGUUCAAUAGUGAAAGACGGUUUUGCUGUCACUUAUAGAUGGAUCCGCGCCGCAUUAGCUAGUUGGUAAGGUAACGGCUUACCAAGGCAACGAUGCGUAGCCGACCUGAGAGGGUGAUCGGCCACACUGGAACUGAGACACGGUCCAGACUCCUACGGGAGGCAGCAGUAGGGAAUCUUCCGCAAUGGGCGAAAGCCUGACGGAGCAACGCCGCGUGAGUGAUGAAGGACUUCGGAUCGUAAAACUCUGUUAUUAGGGAAGAACAAAUGUGUAAGUAACUAUGCACGUCUUGACGGUACCUAAUCAGAAAGCCACGGCUAACUACGUG
rnacentral:rRNA from 1 species